CGUAGCCACGGGAAUACGUAGGGUGCAAGCGUUAAUCGGAAUUACUGGGCGUAAAGCGUGCGCAGGCGGUUAUAUAAGACAGAUGUGAAAUCCCCGGGCUCAACCUGGGAACUGCAUUUGUGACUGUAUAGCUAGAGUACGGCAGAGGGGGAUGGAAUUCCGCGUGUAGCAGUGAAAUGCGUAGAUAUGCGGAGGAACACCGAUGGCGAAGGCAAUCCCCUGGGCCUGUACUGACGCUCAUGCACGAAAGCGUGGGGAGCAAACAGGAUUAGAUACCCGCGUAGUCCCUGUCUCUUAUACA
rnacentral:rRNA from 1 species